rnacentral:lncRNA from 1 species
GUACGGGGUUCGGUACCGGUACGGCGAACCUUGUCUAGAUGUUUUGAUCUUCAAGGACAUUCGCUACUAUCACACCACCUGUUGUGGAAGAAGAUUGAUAGGGCAUGAUAGCUUGCGGCUAGGGCUAUGAUAGAGGUGAUCUAUCGCUACUGCUACUCCUAACAAUAAAGUAGAAUCCUACCGGUAAUCUACGAACAAAAUAAAGUAAACGUAAAAGUAAAGCGAAGAUAAUUAAAAAUAAACUAGAUUCAUUGAUAUGUUAAAGGGUCUUUUAUGAUAGUACAAUUCAUUUAUUUAUCCUAGAAGACAAUUCAUGCGUAACUACUUACACUCAGUAACAACCCAUGUUUGACCUCCAUCUUUGGUGGUUCUACUAACAUUAGCUGUCGGCCUGCUACUCAUGUUCGUUUGAACGGCCGGACCCUGUACCACCCGUUAGACCAAUAAUCGUGCUCGAUCAGCCUCUACUUGUUAUUAGCCUCUAUUUGGCUUGUCC